rnacentral:sRNA from 12 species
UGGGCUGGCCGAAAGCCCCGGGUCCACCAAUCGGCGGGUAAGACACCC